rnacentral:rRNA from 1 species
AGUGAACGCUGGCGGUAGGCCUAACACAUGCAAGUCGAACGGCAGCACAGUAAGAGCUUGCUCUUACGGGUGGCGAGUGGCGGACGGGUGAGGAAUACAUCGGAAUCUACUUUUUCGUGGGGGAUAACGUAGGGAAACUUACGCUAAUACAGCAUACGACCUACGGGUGAAAGCAGGGGAUCUUCGGACCUUGCGCGAUUGAAUGAGCCGAUGUCGGAUUAGCUAGUUGGCGGGGUAAAGGCCCACCAAGGCGACGAUCCGUAGCUGGUCUGAGAGGAUGAUCAGCCACACUGGAACUGAGACACGGUCCAGACUCCUACGGGAGGCAGCAGUGGGGAAUAUUGGACAAUGGGCGCAAGCCUGAUCCAGCCAUACCGCGUGGGUGAAGAAGGCCUUCGGGUUGUAAAGCCCUGUUGUUGGGAAAGAAAAGCAGCAGGUUAAUACCCCGCUGUUCUGACGGUACCCAAAGAAUAAGCACCGGCUAACUUCGUG